CUCAUUACCAGCUUCCGAUCGGUUCGACGGCCGUCCCCGGUCUGAGCGUGCGGUCCUGGGCACACUUUCGGGACUGAGCGUCGAGUGGACUCCCCUGACUCUGCCUCCUGCCGCCGCGCGCACCAGCUGAAUAGCAGAAGCGCCUGGGACCCCCACCGGCCCCGCCCCGCCCUGGUCCCGCGUAGCCCCGCCCCGUCCUGCUCGGCCCCGCCCUUCUAUCGCGCUGGAGGGCCCCACCCUCGUCCCGGCACGUGAUGACGUAGAACGUAACGACACCGUGUGGUAGCCAUCUUCUUGAGGUCCGAAGGAGGGUUAUUUUGUGGACUUGUUUUCGGCCCGGAAAAAGGUGUGACGAUAAAUGACGCGUCGGCGAACGCUUUGUAGCCACCCCGUGUCAAGCUGUGCCAAACAGCUUAACUUCAACCUGUGCCAAACAGCUUAACUUCAACCUGAGACAGUGAGUCACCUAACCUUUGGUUGAGAAUUGCAGUGAGCUGGCAGGCAAUACAGUAUUCUUUCCCCAGUCAGAUUUCAGUAAGAUGAGAAGGAAGAAAGCAAAGAAGAAAAAGAGCAUUUAAGGGCCAGGUGAUUGUGCAGGUAUCCAGGUUGACUGAGACUGGGGUGGACUGCAGCAUAAAGACCCUAUUAGGAGUGUCUGUCUGUCUGUUUCUCUCUGUCUCUCAUGGAAGAAUAAACUGAAACUGAAAAUAAAAAAAAGAAAUCUCUGAACAUUUAACUGCCUAUCCAAACAAUGCCAUCUUUUUAAUCAGUUGAGGUGUUAUUUUCUAAAGUUUCAGAUUCAACUGUAUGUGUGUUCCUUUUUCUUUUAAAUAGUAUGGGAAAAAGAAGUCAGUCAGAGGAAUGCUUUCAUAAAUAACAGCUGUUCUAGAAUAAAGGAACAUAAUCAAAAUGAAUGUUAAAUCUAUUCCCUCAUGGCACAUGCAUUCAUUCAUGUCACUGAGCAAGAUAUUUUAAUUCCAACAAUACAAGGGAACUUCAAAAGUU